AUUGAACGCUGGCGGCAUGCCUUACACAUGCAAGUCGAACGGUAACGCGGGGGCAACCCUGGCGACGAGUGGCGAACGGGUGAGUAGCGCAUCGGAACGUGCCCAGUAGUGGGGGAUAGCUCGGCGAAAGCCGGAUUAAUACCGCAUACGACCUACGGGUGAAAGCGGGGGACCGCAAGGCCUCGGCCUAUUGGGGCGGCCGAUGCCCGAUUAGCUAGGUGGUGAGGUAAAGGCUCACCAAGGCAACGAUCGGUAGCUGGUCUGAGAGGACGACCAGCCACACUGGGACUGAGACACGGCCCAGACUCCUACGGGAGGCAGCAGUGGGGAAUUUUGGACAAUGGGGGAAACCCUGAUCCAGCCAUGCCGCGUGCGGGAAGAAGGCCUUCGGGUUGUAAACCGCUUUUGGCAGGAACGAAACGGCGCGAGCUAACACCCCGCGCUAAUGACGGUACCUGCAGAAUAAGCACCGGCUAACUACGUGCCAGCCGCCGCUGUAAGAC
rnacentral:rRNA from 1 species